GACGUAGGGCGCGAGCGUUGUCCGGAUUUAUUGGGCGUAAAGAGCUCGUAGGCGGCUUGUCGCGUCGACCGUGAAAACUUGGGGCUCAACCCCAAGCCUGCGGUCGAUACGGGCAGGCUCGAGUUCGGUAGGGGAGACUGGAAUUCCUGGUGUAGCGGUGAAAUGCGCAGAUAUCAGGAGGAACACCGAUGGCGAAGGCAGGUCUCUGGGCCGUAACUGACGCUGAGGAGCGAAAGCAUGGGGAGCGAACAGG
rnacentral:rRNA from 1 species